rnacentral:lncRNA from 1 species
AGUUGUGUUUCUUUGAUCUUGUGCAACCUAUUUAGGCCGAUGAUAGCCCGCGGAUAGGUGUGGAAACCCAUCUAUAUUGCACCCAGUACGACACAGAAAAAAAGCCCAGGGCCUAGGGGUCGGGUGGGGCUCGUUCGGGGUGCACAACGGUUGCGCCAAAAACGGUCCAAAAAUGGCCAAGGCUUUACCAUACGAAAAAUCGGCCGAUUUUUAACCAUGUGAGAAACGUCCCGAAAAUUCACAGAUAACUACUAGGAGGCCUCACUCUGAGUAAUAUUAAAGUUUUCUCCCACAAGAACCGCUCGGAGAUGCCCAGACUCAGUUUUUAUUUUCGUCCCAAUGCUUUUCUUCCCAUGGACUAGUUGUGUUUCUUUGAUCUUGUGCAACCUAUUUAGGCCGAUGAUAGCCCGCGGAUAGGUGUGGAAACCCAUCUAUAUUGCACCCAGUACGACACAGAAAAAAAGCCCAGGGCCUAGGGGUCGGGUGGGGCUCGUUCGGGGUGCACAACGGUUGCGCCAAAAACGGUCCAAAAAUGGCCAAGGCUUUACCAUACGAAAAAUCGGCCGAUUUUUAACCAUGUGAGAAACGUCCCGAAAAUUCACAGAUAACUACUAGGAGGCCUCACUCUGAGUAAUAUCAAAGUUUUUUCCCACAAGAACCGCUCGGAGAUGCCCGGACUCAGUUUUUAUUUUCGUCCCAAUACUUUUCUUCCAUGGACUAGUUGUGUUUCUUUGAUCUUGUGCAACCUAUUUAGGCCGAUGAUAGCCCGCGGAUAGGUGUGGAAACCCAUCUAUAUUGCACCCAGUAGACACAGAAAAAAAGCCCAGGGCCUAGGGGUCGGGUGGGGCUCGUUCGGGGUGCACAACGGUUGCGCCAAAAACGGUCCAAAAAUGGCCAAGGCUUUACCAUAAAAAAUCGGCCGAUUUUUAACCAUGUGAGAAACGUCCCGAAAAUUCACAGAUAACUACUAGGAGGCCUCACUCUGAGUAAUAUUAAAGUUUUCUCCCACAAAACCGCUCGGAGAUGCCCGACUCAGUUUUUAUUUUCGUCCCAAUACUUUUCUUCCAUGGACUAGUUGUGUUUCUUUGAUCUUGUGCAACCUAUUUAGGCCGAUGAUAGCCCGCGGAUAGGUGUGGAAACCCAUCUAUAUUGCACCCAGUAACACAGAAAAAAAGCCCAGGGCCUAGGGGUCGGGUGGGGCUCGUUCGGGGUGCACAACGGUUGCGCCAAAAACGGUCCAAAAAUGGCCAAGGCUUUACCAUACGAAAAAUCGGCCGAUUUUUAACCAUGUGAGAAACGUCCCGAAAAUUCACAGAUAACUACUAGGAGGCCUCACUCUGAGUAAUAUCAAAGUUUUUUCCCACAAGAACCGCUCGGAGAUGCCCAGACUCAGUUUUUAUUUUCGUCCCAAUACUUUUCUUCCAUGGACUAGUUGUGUUUCUUUGAUCUUGUGCAACCUCUUUAGGCCGAUGAUAGCCCGCGGAUAGGUGUGGAAACCCAUCUAUAUUGCACCCAGUACGACACAGAAAAAAAGCCCAGGGCCUAGGGGUCGGGUGGGGCUCGUUCGGGGUGCACAACGGUUGCGCCAAAAACGGUCCAAAAAUGGCCAAGGCUUUACCAUACGAAAAAUCGGCCGAUUUUUAACCAUGUGAGAAACGUCCCGAAAAUUCACAGAUAACUACUAGGAGGCCUCACUCUGAGUAAUAUCAAAGUUUUUUCCCACAAGAACCGCUCGGAGAUGCCCAGACUCAGUUUUUAUUUUCGUCCCAAUACUUUUCUUCCAAUGGACUAGUUGUGUUUCUUUGAUCUUGUGCAACCUCUUUAGGCCGAUGAUAGCCCGCGGAUAGGUGUGGAAACCCAUCUAUAUUGCACCCAGUACGACACAGAAAAAAAGCCCAGGGCCUAGGGGUCGGGUGGGGCUCGUUCGGGGUGCACAACGGUUGCGCCAAAAACGGUCCAAAAAUGGCCAAGGCUUUACCAUACGAAAAAU